GCAAGUCGAACGGUAACAUGUCUAGCUUGCUAGAUGAUGACGAGUGGCGGACGGGUGAGUAAUGUAUAGGAACUUACCUAGUAGUGGGGGACAACGUGUGGAAACGCACGCUAAUACCGCAUACGCUCUACGGAGGAAAGCAGGGGAUCUUCGGACCUUGCGCUAUUAGAUGGGCCUAUAUUGGAUUAGCUAGUUGGUAAGGUAAAAGCUUACCACGGCGACGAUCCAUAGCUGGUCUGAGAGGAUGGAC
rnacentral:rRNA from 1 species